CAAUAAUGUUCACAGCUGCUCUCAUCAAACUCUCUGCAGCUUUGCUCUGGUUUGGAGGUCUAACUGAUGGGAGUGAUGUCUCCCAGACUCCUCUGCUAUGGAAGUCAGAGGGUCAGUCUGCCACAAUGACCUGCAAUCACACUAAGAAUUUUGAUUACACACAGAUGUAUUGGUAUCAACAGCUGCCAGGACAGAAAAUAAAGCAAAUCGUUUUCACAGCUCCAACAACCCAGCAUACUUAUGAAAGUGGCUUCAGUGAGGAAAAGUUUCCAGCAACAAAGAACAGUUAUGAGACUGGAUCUCUGACAGUGGAGAAGCUGGUGCCUGGAGACAGUGGAGUGUAUUUCUGUGCUGUGAGUAAACACAGUGAUGCAGGUGGAUUAAAGAGCUGCACAAAUACCCAGACUAUGGUUUCACAAUGAACUGAAGACAUCAGUGUGUUUAAUUAUCUGUAGGGGGCGCUCAAUCCUCAUUAUUCAGAUUU